UGGGGAAUUUUGGACAAUGGGCGAAAGCCUGAUCCAGCAAUGCCGCGUGUGUGAAGAAGGCCUUCGGGUUGUAAAGCACUUUUGUCCGGAAAAGAAAUCCUUGGCUCUAAUACAGUCGGGGGAUGACGGUCCGGAAGAAUAAGCACCGGCUAACUACGUGCCAGCAGCCGCGGUAAUACGUAGGGUGCAAGCGUUAAUCGGAAUUACUGGGCGUAAAGCGUGCGCAGGCGGUUUGCUAAGACCGAUGUGAAAUCCCCGGGCUCAACUGGGAACUGCAUUGGUGACUGGCAGGCUAGAGUAUGGCAGAGGGGGGUAAAUUCCACGUGUAGCAGUGGAAUGCGUAGAGAUGGUGGAGGAAUACCGAUGGCGAAGGCAGCCCCCUGGGCCAAUACUGACGCUCAUGCACGAAAGCGUGGGGAGCAAACAGGAUUAGAUACCCUGGUAGUCCACGCCCUAAACGAUGUCAACUAGUUGUUGGGGGAUUCAUUUUCCUUAGUAACGUAGCUAACGCGUGAAGUUGACCGCCUGGGGAGUACGGUCGCAAGAUUAAAACUCAAAUGAAUUGACGGGGUCAUAGCUGUUUCC
rnacentral:rRNA from 1 species